rnacentral:lncRNA from 1 species
GUCGCUUCGCAUUCACUUCCGGGGUGAAACAAACAAAAACGAAAGGCUACCACUGUAGGGCAGGCAAACAAGCAACUGUCGACCAAACCUGCGUGCACACACACUCACACACACACACACACACACGUUCCUCUCUUUUUCCAAAAAGCCCUCACGGUAAAUAGCCAGGCAGACAAAAGCCUGGGUUUCCGUAUUGCUUUUGUAUGCAGUGGCAGGAAGCAGUUGUCAGCUGCAUCAGUGAAAAAUAACAACGGCAAACACUCAGACACCCAGACACAUGCCACAAUGUUCCCGUGGAAAUCAAACUCUGAGAAAUUUUUAAAAUGUUUUCAACACAUCAGCAUGAAGCAUCGACCUAGUUGGAAUCACUUAGAUCUAAAGCAAAUGCACUGAUUGUUUUCACAGCAGGCUUUUCUUCUUGGAGCUGAAACAGGCGCACUGGCGAGGCUGGCAAGGAACGGUUUUCCAGCCCCCUGCCUUGGUCGGCUAUAGCCUGUGACACGAUCAAUACCGGGGCGAGCGGCGGAGGAAGCUCAGGGAAGAUUAUGAAGAUGAGAGAGGAGUUUUAAGCCUCAGUGUGGUUAAUCAUCUCCAUCACCCUCGUCAUCUGCAUCACCCUCGUCAUCUCCAUCACCCUCGUCAACUCCAUCACCCUCGUCAACUCCAUCACCCUCGUCAUCUGCAUCACCCUCGUCAUCCCAUCACCCUCGUCAUCUCCAUCACCCUCAACUCCAUCACCCUCGUCAUCUGCAUCACCCUCGUCAUCCCAUCACCCUCGUCAACUCCAUCACCCUCAACUCCAUCACCCUCGUCAUCUCCAUCACCCUCGUCAUCUGCAUCACCCUCAACUCCAUCACCCUCAACUCCAUCACCCUCGUCAACUCCAUCACCCUCAUCAUCUGCAUCACCACUAUCUGCAUCACCAUCAUCAUCAUGUCUCCCAACCCAUCACCCAUUCUCCACAACCUUCAAGUCUUAGCUUAAACAUGGCCUUCUUGCAUUUCCCCAUCUAAAUUCGGAUGCCCACAUUCAAUCAUAAUUCACCAU